AAAUUCAAGAAGAAAUUGUUAAAAAUAAGUUAAUAAUGAUGAAAAACUUGGUAAAAUUUAUAAAUCUUGAAGAUUUGCUUCAAAAUAGCCCAAAGAAUGCGGUUACAAAUUGAUAAAAAAACAAUUCAGGGAAAUCUAACCUCAAAAAAUAAAUCCAGAAUCAAAAUAAAAAAUUUGGGGGAAAAAUCUUCACUACGUUCAAAACUAUAUCAACAAAAUUUAAUCUAAUUUUAUUUACUUAAUAUAAUUCUAAUCUAAUUGA